rnacentral:rRNA from 1 species
UACGUAGGGGGCUAGCGUUGUCCGGAAUCAUUGGGCGUAAAGAGCGCGUAGGCGGCCAGAUAAGUCCGGUGUGAAAGUCAAAGGCUCAACCUUUGAAUGCCGCUGGAAACUGUCUGGCUAGAGUCCGGAAGGGGCGAGUGGAAUUCCUGGUGUAGCGGUGAAAUGCGCAGAUAUCAGGAGGAACACCAAUGGCGAAGGCAGCUCGCUGGGACGGUAUUGACGCUGAGACGCGAAAGCGUGGGGAGCAAACAGG